UUUAAAUCAAACUGUCUGUCCAAAAAGCUGUAUUAAUUCAUUCGGAAUCGAUUGAAACCAUCAUGGGUGACGAUAAUAAAAAAUUGGAUGAUUUUCGUACAACGCUGGAGGAAAUUUUUUCCUUGAGCAGUCGGACUCCAUCCAAACAGGAGUGCUUACGGACAAUAUCGCUUAUGCAUACCAACUCUUUUGUUGAGCCGGCUAAAUACAAACAACUCUUGGACAAUCCACAAAAGCAAUAUCUGCUACCAAAAAUGAAAGAACUCGUGGAAGAAUUGAAGAAUGAAAGUGAAAAUAAAUAAAAGUCACACAUUUCAACCAAUUCAAAUUCAUUUUGUGAUUCGUCUGAAUAACGUGGAAUAAAUAGGGCAAUUAGCAAACAA